rnacentral:misc_RNA from 1 species
AAGACUAUAGACCUGCGGAGUACCUGCGGAAGGAUCAUUAACAAUUUAUCCUAACUAUGGAUAAAUUUUAUCCAUAUCCACCUUGUGUGCAUCAUUGAAGCGUUAGUUGGCAGGUGAAAUCCUUUUCAAAGGAUUUAAAGUGCAGUUGAUUUGCAGCCUGCCAAUUUUAUUUGUCUAAACUUGUCUACUUACACUUUUGACUGAAAUGUUAUUAUUUAAUAAAUACAACUUUCAACAACG